rnacentral:tRNA from 1 species
CAAGGAAGAAAGAAAACAGUAAGUGCUGCUAACACUUAUUAGCCAUGGUUAAAUUCCAUGGCUUCCUUA